rnacentral:rRNA from 1 species
CCCUUAGAUGUCCGGGGCUGCACGCGCGCUACACUGUAGAAAGCAGCGUGCUUUAAAACCUUUCCUGAAAAGGAUGGGUAACCCCAGCAAAAUUCUACGUGCUUGGGAUAGAGAUUUGCAAUUUUCUCUCUUGAACGAGGAAUUCCCAGUAAGUGCGAGUCAUCAGCUCGCGUUGAUUACGUCCCUGCCCUUUGUACACACCGCCCGUCGCUACUACCGAUUGGGUGGUCCGGUGAAGCCUCGGGAUUGUGGUUCUUGCCGCUUUAUUGUGGCGUGACCGCGAGAACUUGUCUAAACCUUAUCAUCUAGAGGAAGGUGAAGUCGUAACA